rnacentral:rRNA from 1 species
GUGAGGAAUAUUGCUCAAUGGGCGAAAGCCUGAAGCAGCAACGCCGCGUGGAGGAAGAAGGUCUUCGGAUUGUAAACUCCUUUUCUUAGGGACGAGGAAGGACGGUACCUGAGGAAUAAGUCACGGCUAACUACGUGCCAGCAGCCGCGGUAAUACGUAGGUGGCGAGCGUUAUCCGGAAUUAUUGGGCGUAAAGCGCAAGCAGGCGGCUUCUUAAGUCUGACGUAAAAUUUCCUGGCUUAACUGGGAGGGGUCGUUGGAGACUGAGGGGCUUGAGGCGAUGAGAGGGACAUGGAAUUCCCGGUGUAGUGGUGGAAUGCGUAGAUAUCGGGAGGAAUACCAGAGGCGAAAGCGGUGUCCUGGCAUUAGCCUGACGCUCAUGUGCGAAAGCGUGGGGAGCGAACGGGAUUAGAAACCCCGGUAGUCC